ACUUAAGAUUGUGAAAAUGUGAAAAAGAUAUAAUUUGUGAUACGACGAAGAUGUCACAACUUCUUAUUUUCUUUGUCGACGACUUGUACAGUAAUACGAUUUUAAAAACACGAGAGUUUUUAUAAUUUACAUAAUAAUAUUAUAUGUGUAUAUCAUAUUUUUAAAGUAUUUAUAAGUUAAUAUAAGCACAUUAACUUCAACUUUUGAAUUCGUCAAAACUAUGAGUUUUUAAUUUUAUUCACAGAAUAAGCAGUAUACUUUUUAAAAUUACACACACACAUUUGUUGUCUCCGUCCUACCUUCAAUGCACAACACAACAAAUGUCCAUUCAGCAGUUUUACAUUUUGUAUGUUUAUAACAAUAUUUAAAUUCGAUAUUGAAGUAAAAUGUGAAAAUUUAUUAGCAUAUAUUCAUUAUGGACCAAAACAAUAGAGUGCAAUCAACGGAGGUGUACGUCGACGUGGCGGCAGAGGUGACCCAGAAAUGUCUAAAACUCGCAAAAAAAUAAGAAAAAUAACCAAUUGGAGUUUAAAAUAUUAUAAAAUACUGAUUGGCUGACCACCUACAACGAAACCCAUUGUGCUAUAUGCACAUAAUAUAAUAUGUACAAUGUACAUUGUACGUAUAUACAGUAAGUGUUUUGUCCAGAUGACAACUAGUUCCGUUAUGCAUAGUUUGAGUAAGUAACCAUUUCAUGAAAUGUUAUCCAGAUAGUGGAAUUAUACAAAGUGGAUAAAAAGUGUUUCCAUUUCGUGAAAUGUACAAUUAUGCCAUUGGAUGCAACAUAUGUAAUUUAUUAUAUUGUAAUUUGCAGUAAG